CAGCAGCCACGGGAAUACGGAGGGUGCAAGCGUUAUCCGGAUUUAUUGGGUUUAAAGGGUCCGUAGGCGGACUUAUAAGUCAGUGGUGAAAGCCUGUCGCUUAACGAUAGAACUGCCAUUGAUACUGUAAGUCUUGAGUAUAUUUGAGGUAGCUGGAAUAAGUAGUGUAGCGGUGAAAUGCAUAGAUAUUACUUAGAACACCAAUUGCGAAGGCAGGUUACCAAGAUAUAACUGACGCUGAGGGACGAAAGCGUGGGUAGCGAACAGGAUUAGAUACCCCUGUAGUCCCUGUCUCUUAUAC
rnacentral:rRNA from 1 species